rnacentral:rRNA from 1 species
GACAGAGGGUGCAAACGUUGUUCGGAAUUACUGGGCGUAAAGCGCGUGUAGGCGGCCCUGCAAGUCGGAUGUGAAAUCCCACGGCUCAACCGUGGAAGUACAUUCGAAACUGCAGGGCUAGAGUCCUGGAGAGGAAGGUGGAAUGCUUGGUGUAGAGGUGAAAUUCGUAGAUAUCAAGCGGAACACCGGUGGCGAAGGCGGCCUUCUGGACAGUGACUGACGCUGAGACGCGAAAGCGUGGGGAGCAAACAGG